rnacentral:rRNA from 1 species
GACGAACGCUGGCGGCGUGCUUAACACAUGCAAGUCGAACGCUGAAGCACCAGCUUGCUGGUGUGGAUGAGUGGCGAACGGGUGAGUAAUACGUGAGUAACCUGCCCUUGACUCUGGGAUAAGCCCGGGAAACUGGGUCUAAUACUGGAUGCUACAUGUCACCGCAUGGUGGUGUGUGGAAAGGGUUUACUGGUCUUGGAUGGGCUCACGGCCUAUCAGCUUGUUGGUGAGGUAAUGGCUCACCAAGGCGACGACGGGUAGCCGGCCUGAGAGGGUGACCGGCCACACUGGGACUGAGACACGGCCCAGACUCCUACGGGAGGCAGCAGUGGGGAAUAUUGCACAAUGGGCGAAAGCCUGAUGCAGCGACGCCGCGUGAGGGAUGACGGCCUUCGGGUUGUAUACCUCUUUCAGCAGGGAAGAAGCCACAAGUGACGGUACCUGCAGAAGAAGCGCCGGCUAACUACGUG